AAAUAAAAAUUAAUAAUAUAAAUUUAAUAAAAGUAAUUUUAAUAUUAAAAUAAAUAAUGGGGGUUAAAGUAUUUUAAUAGAAAAAAUUAGAAAUUUUAUAGAAAAUUAGUAUAGAAAUAGAAAUUUGAAAUAAUUGAAAAUAAAUUUAUUAAAAAGUAAAUUUAAUUUAUUGUAUCUUGUGUAUCAGAGUUUAUUAAAUAAAUUUUUAAAAUUAAAAUAUCUCGAAUUUAAAAGAGUUAAUUAAUUAAUAAAAUUAAUGUAAAAUAAUUAUUUUAAAUAAUUAAUUUGAAAUGAAAUGUUAAUCGUUUUUAAAUAUAUCUAGUUAUUUUAGAAAAAAAUUUAAUUUUAAAUUUAUUUUAAAAUAAAUUAUUUAAAUAAUUUAUUUUAAAGUAAAUUUUAUAAUUUAAGGGAUAAGCUUUAAAUUAUAAAAUUAUAAUAAUUUAAUAAAAUUUAAAAUUUUUAAAAUUUAUAUUGUUUAAAAGUUAAAAUUUAUUAUAAAAAAUUUUAUUAAAUAUAAAAUUUAAUAUAAAUUUAAUUUUUUAUAAAAAUAUAAUUUAUAAUAUAAAAAUUUUAGAAAAAAUGGUAAAAUUAGUAUAAUAAAAUAAAUGAAAAUAAUAUUUAUUAAAAUAUAAUUAAAAGGAAUUCGGCAAAUUUUUAUAUUCACCUGUUUAACAAAAACAUGUCUUUUUGAUAAAUAAUUUAAAGUCUAGUCUGCCCACUGAUUAAGUAUUAAAGGGCUGCAGUAUAUUGACUGUACAAAGGUAGCAUAAUCAUUAGUCUUUUAAUUGAAGACUUGUAUGAAGGAUUUGAUGAAAUAUAUACUGUCUCUUAUUUAUUUGUAAAAUUUAAUUUUUUAGUUAAAAAGCUAAAAUAGUUUUAAAAGACGAGAAGACCCUAUAGAGUUUUAUAUUUAUUAGUUUAAAAUAUUUAUUUAAAAUUUUAAUAUUUUAAAUUAAUAAAUAUUGUAUUGGGGUGAUAAAAAAAUUAAUUGAACUUUUUUUAUAUAUAAACAAAAAUAAAUGAAUAAUUGAUCCAUAAUUAAUGAUUAAAAGAAAAAAUUACCUUAGGGAUAACAGCGUAAUAUUUUUUUUUAGUACAAAUAAAAAAAAAAGUUUGCGACCUCGAUGUUGGAUUAAAAUAAAAUUUAAAUGCAAAAGUUUAAAAUUUUGAUCUGUUCGAUCAUUAAAAUCUUACAUGAUCUGAGUUCAAACCGGUGUAAGCCAGGUUGGUUUCUAUCUUUAAAAAAAUAAAAUAUUUUA
rnacentral:rRNA from 1 species